CCAAAUAAACAAAUACAAAACACCAGGUCAUAAAUGUGUCCAAUAACAAGAGUCAGUCCUAUAUUAUGUUAGGAGUGAUAUGUUGUGUUAUCUGUUCGGUAACACUUCCUGGUAUGCAAAUUCUUACCUAUUAUCUACAGCUGUUGCAGAAUAUGGCCAUAAUAUUUCAUUUAUAUAAAAUUAUGACAUCACAUUACAUCAGAAUACAGACAAAUAUAUUUUGCUUUGCAGGUCUUCAUGGAUGGAGUAGCCUAUAUAAAUAACGCCCACCUUGAAUGUGUGUUACUGCAAUGUUUGCAAAAAUUAUUGUUAACACUAAACAACUGUCAUGGCUCUCACCCACAAGCCAAAGUUAUACAGACAAAUACAUUUAUCCUGAAAUAAAUAUGGCUACCUCAGGACAAAAAUCUCUAAAAGACAAACUACUAAAAUUUUGGGCUUGGUCUCCCUCACUUGGCAGGCGGAGGACACAAUUCUUCUCCACCUUCCUCAGAAGAAUAUCAGAAAGUUCAUUUAUCUGUUCAGUAAGAUCAUUCAAGGUUCUGAACUCAUCCUCAUCCUUAUUCAGGUAUUGUACAAUACAUCCACCGUGAUCCCCUGAAAACUGAAGAGAUGAUCAAUGUUAUAAUUGACAAGUGGAGUUAAAGCUACCUAAAGAUGGUCGAAAUCAGCCAAAAUAUGCUGUAAACAAUCAUUAUACUUGUAAUAUUAACAAUUUAUUAUUAACAACAAUGAAUAAUGUGUUGAGAACAACACACAGUGUUUGUAAGUUGCAUGAUGUUGAUGGACCAAAAUAUUAGUGUUUAAUAAUAAACUUCAACAGGAUGAUUCUUUACAAUUUAUA